AAUACGUUCUCGGGCCUUGUACACACCGCCGUCACACCACGAAAGUCAAUGGGACCAGAAGUCAUCGGUUUUCCGGUGCCAAAGGUCUAAUCGAUGGUUGGGGUG
rnacentral:rRNA from 1 species